rnacentral:rRNA from 1 species
GUGGGGAAUAUUGCACAAUGGGGGGAACCCUGAUGCAGCGACGCCGCGUGAAGGAAGAAGUAUUUCGGUAUGUAAACUUCUAUCAGCAGGGAAGAAAAUGACGGUACCUGACUAAGAAGCCCCGGCUAACUACGUGCCAGCAGCCGCGGUAAUACGUAGGGGGCAAGCGUUAUCCGGAUUUACUGGGUGUAAAGGGAGCGUAGGCGGUUUAGCAAGUCAGAAGUGAAAGCCCGCAGCUCAACUGGGGGACUGCUUUUGAAACUGUUAAACUAGAUUGCAGGAGAGGUAAGUGGAAUUCCUAGUGUAGCGGUGAAAUGCGUAGAUAUUAGGAGGAACACCAGUGGCGAAGGCGGCUUACUGGACUGUAAAUGACGCUGAGGCUCGAAAGCGUGGGGAGCAAACAGG